rnacentral:rRNA from 1 species
GAAUUCGAUUCAGGCCUAACACAUGCAAGUCGAACGCCCCGCAAGGGGAGUGGCAGACGGGUGAGGAACACGUGGGAACGUACCUUUUGGUUCGGAAUAACUCAGGGAAACUUGUGCUAAUACCGGAUAAGCCCUUCGGGGGAAAGAUUUAUCGCCAAAAGAUCGGCCCGCGUCUGAUUAGCUAGUUGGUGAGGUAACGGCUCACCAAGGCGACGAUCAGUAGCUGGUCUGAGAGGAUGAUCAGCCACACUGGGACUGAGACACGGCCCAGACUCCUACGGGAGGCAGCAGUGGGGAAUAUUGGACAAUGGGCGCAAGCCUGAUCCAGCCAUGCCGCGUGAGUGAAGAGAGGUCUUCGGAUUGUAAAGCUCUUUUGGCGGGGACG